CUACCUGAUUUGAUGGGUAAAGUUAGUUCACUGUAUAUUUAAUUAUGGAAAUUUAAGUAACCCCAGUUAAAAAUUUUAAUAAAUUAUUGAAACAUAAAUUUAGGUUACAGUGUAUUUUAUGGUAUUUUAGGUGCCAGCAACCGCGGUCAAACCUAAGUAAAAAUUAACUUAAAAUCUUAUUUUACAACUGUUCUUUUUACUUACUAAUAGUAGUGAAAUACAUUAGCAAAGUAUCACCAAAAGGAAAGUUUUUAUUUUAUUUUAACCUGGAAGAGAAACUAGGAUUAGAUACCCUAUUAUCCUAUGGUAAAGAAAAAAUAAGGAGGAGUAAAACAUCUUAAUGUUGAAACUUAAAAAUCAUGGCGGCUUUUAAAACCUAUUAGGGGAACUUACCUAGUAAUUGAUAACCACCAAGCUAUAUCAACAUAAUUUUAAAGUUUGUAUGCCGUCGUGUAAAAUCUUUUUUAGAAAGAUUUUUAAUUAAUAAUUUUGUUAAUAACCACAGAUCAAGGUGCAGCCUAUAAUUAUGUUUAGGCGAGUUACAAUACCUUUUUAGUUCGGAAUAAAAAUUUAAAAAUUUUUAUAAAGAUGGACUUAUAAGUAAAAUAAAAAUAGUUUAUAAAAUUUGAAUAAUAUUUUUAAUAGUGCACAAAUCGCCCGUCACUCUCGUUAAAAAAUGAGACAAGUCGUAACAUAGUAGAGGUAGCGGAAGCUGUCUCUAGCUAAAAUAAAGCUAA
rnacentral:rRNA from 1 species